CAGACUGAGUACCUCCUCUUUUAUUAACUUUGAGGGCAGAGCAGAUUCUUUACCAAUCUGCCUUGUGCUCCAAGGGGGAGGGGUACCAGUAGGCUGUUUGCGCACCAGCUAUCGGACGUUCCUAACGGACGCUCCGGAUAGAACAGAUCGUGGCUUCAAGCAAGUACCAUGCUACAAGGAAACUGGAAUACACUGCGGAAGACUGGCAGGUGGAGGAAGACAGGUGGAGAGAGAAAGUUUAAUUUUUUUCAGCAUUUUUGCCAGUAAAUAAAAGAUCUACAAGUGA